rnacentral:rRNA from 1 species
GAUGAACGCUGGCGGCGUGCCUAAUACAUGCAAGUCGAGCGAACAGACGAGGAGCUUGCUCCUCUGACGUUAGCGGCGGACGGGUGAGUAACACGUGGAUAACCUACCUAUAAGACUGGGAUAACUUCGGGAAACCGGAGCUAAUACCGGAUAAUAUAUUGAACCGCAUGGUUCAAUAGUGAAAGACGGUUUUGCUGUCACUUAUAGAUGGAUCCGCGCCGCAUUAGCUAGUUGGUAAGGUAACGGCUUACCAAGGCAACGAUGCGUAGCCGACCUGAGAGGGGGAUCGGCCACACUGGAACUGAGCCACGGUCCAGACUCCUACGGGAGGCAGCAGUAGGGAAUCGUCCGCAAGGGGCGAAAGCCUGACGGGGCAACGCCGCGUGAGGGAUGAAGGUCUUCGGAUCGGAAAACUCAGUUAUUAGGGAAGAACAAAUGUGUAAGUAACUAGGCACGUCUUGACGGUACCUAAUCAGAAAGCCACGGCUAACUACGUG